GGAUGCGAUCAUACCAGCACUAAAGCACCGGAUCCCAUCAGAACUCCGAAGUUAAGCGUGCUUGGGCGAGAGUAGUACUAGGAUGGUUGACCUCCUGGGAAGUCCUCGUGUUGCAUUCC
rfam:Triticum aestivum genome assembly, contig: Triticum_aestivum_CS42_TGACv1_scaffold_398036_5AS